AUGCCGAUCAUUCCGCCUACCCUCGCCGUCCCGGGACCCUGUUACCCCCGCGGGAGCUGGCCCUGCCUCAGGCCCCCGUUCGUGGCCGGUGCUGCCUACUGCCUUGUGGCCGACGAGUCCCGCAUUUCUCUCCCUGCCCCUGUCUUUUCUGACAUCGCUAGAAGGAUUGAAGACCGACCCUUCUGCCCCACCCCACUCCCCCGCAUCCCGAGUGCAACCGGAUGGCAAAAAUCAAAGCUGGCUCCAAUUUACCCCAGUUGUCUUCCUUUGAACACUCAUAAGCCUGUUUUACCAUUGCGGACGAGAUAGGCAGGAAAAGGAGCGUUUGACUUGGUGAUUUUACUGCUGUUUUCUACUCUUGCUCCAGCACUUAGUAAUUAUUUCACUCCAGCAAGGCGUUUCAUAGGAUUGAAUGCUGCUUGACUCAUUAAAGAGUUUUCAGUUUACCCAGGUGUAACUUUCAUCCACAUCUCUGUAAAUAGCUAUGUAGCUACGUGGACUUUAUGUAAAGAGUAUAAAAUAUAAAUGGAUAUAUUAAAAGAUUUGUUUAUAUCCAUGGUUCUUUAAGUGUGAUGAAGAAUCCAUCUAUGCUGAGGCCUUUAUGG
rnacentral:lncRNA from 1 species